rnacentral:rRNA from 1 species
UACAGGGGGGGCAAGCGUUGUUCGGAAUUACUGGGCGUAAAGGGUUCGUAGGUGGCCACUUAAGUCAGACGUGAAAUCCCUCAGCUUAACUGGGGAACUGCGUCUGAUACUGGGUGGCUUGAGUGCAGGAGAGGAAUGCGGAAUUCCAGGUGUAGCGGUGAAAUGCGUAGAUAUCUGGAGGAAUACCGGUGGCGAAGGCGGCAUCCUGGACCGGCAUUGACGCUGAGUGAGCGAAAGCCAGGGGAGCAAAGCGGG